AUUGAACGCUGGCGGCAUGCCUUACACAUGCAAGUCGAACGGUAACAGGUUAAGCUGACGAGUGGCGAACGGGUGAGUAAUAUAUCGGAACGUGCCCAGUCGUGGGGGAUAACUGCUCGAAAGAGCAGCUAAUAACGCAUACGACCUGAGGGUGAAAGCGGGGGAUCGCAAGACCUCGCGCGAUUGGAGCGGCCGAUAUCAGAUUAGGUAGUUGGUGGGGUAAAAGCCUACCAAGCCAACGAUCUGUAGCUGGUCUGAGAGGACGACCAGCCACACUGGGACUGAGACACGGCCCAGACUCCUACGGGAGGCAGCAGUGGGGAAUUUUGGACAAUGGUCGCAAGUCUGAUCCAGCCAUGCCGCGUGCGGGAAGAAGGCCUUCGGGUUGUAAACCGCUUUUGUCAGGGAAGAAAAGGUUCUGGAUAAUACCUGGGACUCAUGACGGUACCUGAAGAAUGAGCACCGGCUAACUACGUGCCAGCAGCCGCGGUAA
rnacentral:rRNA from 1 species